rnacentral:rRNA from 1 species
UACGUAGGGUGCAAGCGUUGCCCGGAUUUAUUGGGCGUAAAGGGCGCGUAGGCGGCUCUGCACGUUUGUUGUGAAAUCGCCCGGCUCAACUGGGCGGGGUCAGCGGAUACGGCAGAGCUUGAGCAAGCUAGGGGGCAAUGGAAUUCCCGGUGUAGUGGUGGAAUGCGUAGAUAUCGGGAGGAACACCAGUGGCGAAGGCGGUUGCCUGGGGCUUUGCUGACGCUGAUGCGCGAAAGCGUGGGGAGCGAUCCGG